AUGGUGAUCUCUGCUGUCAAUGGAAACAGUGGAAGCAUUUAUGCCGUCACAACAGAAGGAAAAGUCAUACAACUUUCGAACGGUUUGUGGUCUGAAUUAAACGACGAAUUCAACAAAGAGUUACGUGUUAAGCGCAUUAGUUGUUGCUCGACUGCUUUGUGGGCAAUAUGUGGCGACCAUCAAGUCCAUUUGCGACUGGAGUCGGAGAUCCCGAUUCGUAUCAGAGAGGAAUCUUAUGAAAACCAAAGAUGGAACCCUCUUGAUGGUUUCUCCAAUAAGCUUUUACCCACAGACAGACCAUGUUAUUCAAGCCAAGAUGGUCUGACUGACAGGGAUCUCAAAAGAGUAAAUUUGCCCAGCACAGCAUGGGUGUGGGAUGACCAGUGGCAUCUAGAAUUACUUCACGAAGGACAACAUCUUGAAGCUGAGGGUUGGAUGUAUUCAGUUGAUUUUCCUCGAGCCUAUUCUGCAGCAAAGGCUUGGAACUCCUGUGUUAGGAGGAGAAAAUGGGUGCGAAAUCGUCGAUAUAAUGGCCUUCGUACUUGGGUCACCUUAUCUCCAAUAGUAUUGAAUGAUAUGAUGGAACCGUUCAUUGAUAUUGCAACUGGCGGAUCGGAAAUUCCUGGAGCUGUGGCAGGCUUUGUAGCUGUAUGGGCAGUUACAAUCAACGGUCUUUUGUUAUAUAGAGAAGGAGUUAACUUACUAACGUGCCCCGAUGGCAGUAAUUGGAGGAAGAUUGAAACUCCGCAGGGCUGCGAACCGUGUCAAGUCAGUGUCGGUCCUCAAGGAGUUGUUUGGAUUUUAGCUUGGAAUGGACAGUUGUUAACACGUAACGGAAUAACCUGGAACUGCGAAACAGGCGUUAGUUGGUACGAGGUCCCUCCGCCCUUUAAAGGUAUAUCGUUCAACCACAUCUCUGUGGGUCCCACCUCUUCUUGGGCAGUCAGUCGGGACAACGAGGUAUGGUUGAGAAAAGGACUAGACUCGUCAAUACUUGGUUCGAGCUGGACGGCAAUGAUUGGCCAAAUGAAUUUGGUUUUCACUGGAUCUGACAGUCAAGUGUGCGGUCUUUUGAUCCAAGAUCAAAAACUAUACUUGCGAACAGGCAUAAAGAAUGAAGAGUCUGGAGGACGGUCUUGGAAAAUGCUCAAAACCGAAGACGUGACAUUUGUUUGGCUAGCUUUUGACGGAAAAGGUUUCGUACAACGAUUGGAUGACUGUGCUGAUUCCUAUUGGGUUGAGCCUUGGAGGGGCCAAAUAUUGGAAAAGCUGCGGCAACGUCAUAGCCAGUGGCAGGACAAAUUUGCGGACUACUCCACUGCAGCAGAAACGACUGACUGGAUCAAGAACGGGCGAGCUUUGUUAAAUAAUCGUUGGGUCAAUCUUGGGUUGCGCUGCUGCAGUCAAGAGCCCUUGUUGGAUGUCGAAGACUUGCGGUUGUUGGCUGUCGAAAUCACUGCAAUUCGACGUACUGAAAAUCUGGGACUAGUCAUCCACUAUUUACUAAAUCCACCGAUUAAGCUGCUAUUUGCCAGUGAAGAAGAAGUUGAGGAUUGGGCAGCUCACCUGACCAAAGUGACACGCACGUCGCGACAAAGCACUGGAAUAUUCGCUGAAUCGGUUUGGGCUUUAUCGGACAUGGGCGAUCCUUUUGUUCACGAAACAAGGGUCGAAAAGGAGGAUAAAGAUGUUCCUUGCCAGAUUGAAAUGACUUCAGAUGCAUCAGCUAAUCUAUCGUCGCUGUUUAUCCAUGAUACUCCAGACGGAUUUUAUCGUGGCUGUGGCAUAACCAUUAGCGGCAUAGUGCCAGCCAACGCUUGUCGGUUCUCCGUCAACCUACAGUGUGGUCCAAAGAUCCACCCCCAAGAAGUGUACACUGCCAAAAGAGAUAUAGCCCUACACAUCAACCCGCGUUUUGACACCUCUCCUGGUUCCGUUGAAGUUGUGCGCAACUCCUACUCAAAUAACAUGUGGGAUAUUGAAGAGAAAGCUGGUGAAUUUGAUCUCCAGCCGGGAAACAGAUUUACCAUGUCCAUCAUUUGCCAGAAACAGCAAUAUCUAGUCAAAAUAAAUGAUGUCACCUUUACCUUCUCUUACAGGCUGUCGCCUUUCAGUGUAACUCAUUUCGUCGUCAAAGGCGACGUCAACCUUUUCGAUGUUUCCUAUUCUAUCCCAAAGACUGGCAUACCUUCUCACGCUUUGUGGACCCAACUCGGAGGACACUUUCGACACGUUGAAUCGUCAUCUGGGGGAGUUGUCUGGGCACUUGGUCAAGAUGGCACUUGUUGGAUCCACACAGGUUUUCACGGAGGCGGGUUUUUUAAAGGUGUGUUCGGUGGAAGUUCACAUGGAAUCCAUCCGCUCAGCGACGAGGGACACGUUAAUCUUUACGAAAACCAAAGAUGGAACCCUGUGGCUGGAUUUUCAGCUCGUGGUUUGCCCACUGAUCGACCAUCAUGGAGCGACAUUACUGGUCUUCACGCUUACAAUAAAGAAAACAUGUCACUUCCCAACCGAAACUGGAAUUGGGUUUCCGAAUGGUUGGUCGAUUACCACCCGCCAGAUGGAGCCGAUAGAGAAGGAUGGCAAUAUGCGACUGAUUAUCCUUCUCGUUACCACACAUAUAAAGGGUCCUUUGAUUACGUUAGGCGGAAGCGCUGGCAGCGCAAAUGUCGGUACACUAGUACUGGACCAUGGUUUCAGUUUGGUCUCACUAAAUUACUGGACAUUUCAAUGCAGGUCGAUCACAGCGGACGUCCUGACGAACCAUUGCUAUUAUGGGCAAUCGCAGCUAAUGGUUCAAUUCUUCGGCGAGUAGGAGUGACUGUGAUAAAGCCACAAGGUGAAUCGUGGGAGGCAGUAUUGGGCGAGCAUGCUUUCCAAUCCUUAUCGAUUGGGGUAGACGGGCGAGUGUGGGCAAUUACUUCAUUAGGAGCACCAGCCUUGCGGCACAGAGUUACUUUAGCAAAUCCUGACGGAGUGGCGUGGCUUUUAAUGGACCGACCCGAGGGCAAUCCCACUCUCCGUCAAAUUUCCGCUGGCGACAUUCAAGUUUGGGCAGUGGACUCACAGGAUCGCUUGUAUCGUCGUAAAGAUAUCGUUUCAAUUCUGCCAGAGGGAACUUCAUGGGAACUAAUUGAUGAACACGUUCUUCACGUGUCAGUAGGGAAGCACGACCAAGUUUGGGCUGUGCUGGAUUUGAAGAACAACGAACCUAAAGUGAAAGAGAGGGGUUCAAUUUGUAUCCGAAGAGGAAUUACAGCGUCCUGUCCUGGAGGCACUGGUUGGGAGUUUGUCAUUGGGGGUGGUUGGAGUUUUGUCUGCAAUCGGGGGCACGACAUUCCAUAUUAAUUUUCGCUAGUUUUAAUUUUCAUUUAAAUUUUCAAAAGAGACCAGCCAAUUUUAAAAUUUACUUCAUAAAUUAUCUGAAUGGUUACUUUAAGCCGACUUCAAGGAAUCUCAUUGACGUUCAUAUCUCUCAAAGUUGGCGAACAGAAAGGUGCGCAUUCAUUGCGUACUUCGAACUUCUCACAGGAAGAAGGCUUACACCCGAAAUAUGACCAUUAGAAUAGGCAAAUACCAGUUUCUGUUGUGAAGACAAGUGAAACAUUGACCAAACAGAGGAUGACGAGCCACCUUCAGCUUCAUUUGAAGGCAACAUUAGAGCUAUAAUACAAACAACUGCCACCACAAUGGCAAUAUAAUUUGGUCCAGCAUUUUGAUAACCUAGAAAAUUAUGUGCUUAGUAAAAUCAUUUGGAAAACAACAAUUCAAUAAAUCUCCAACAACCUAA